rnacentral:rRNA from 1 species
GGGGAAUAUUGCACAAUGGGCGCAAGCCUGAUGCAGCCAUGCCGCGUGUAUGAAGAGGGCCUUCGGGUUGUAAAGUACUUUCAGCGGGGAGGAAGGCGACAGGGUUAAUAACCCUGUCGAUUGACGUUACCCGCAGAAGAAGCACCGGCUAACUCCGUGCCAGCAGCCGCGGUAAUACGGAGGGUGCAAGCGUUAAUCGGAAUUACUGGGCGUAGAGCGCACGCAGGCGGUCUGUCAAGUCGGAUGUGAAAUCCCCGGGCUCAACCUGGGAACUGCAUUCGAAACUGGCAGGCUAGAGUCUUGUAGAGGGGGGUAGAAUUCCAGGUGUAGCGGUGAAAUGCGUAGAGAUCUGGAGGAAUACCGGUGGCGAAGGCGGCCCCCUGGACAAAGACUGACGCUCAGGUGCGAAAGCGUGGGGAGCAAAC